CAACCCUCAGGCCACGCCUGGCGUUGGGGUCCUGCGCUGCAGGCCCCGAAAGACAGCGGCGGGUGCGUCCCACGACCGAACGCAGUAGUUACUUCUCGUUCCGGGCGCGGGCGCAUGCCGGCCGGUAAACCCCCAAUUUUACAA
rnacentral:misc_RNA from 2 species